GGGCCUCUGCUAAUGGUGGAGAGAUCAAGGAAGAAAAGAGCAACGUUAAAGUGAGGCUGUACCCACAGAUCAUGCUCAAGCAAAUUCGAACCGUGAGCGCAUUUCUCUUAAACAAUGAACACUUAGAAUAAAAAUUAAAAUUUCCCACAAAUUUCUAAUUUUAAAAUAGUUUCCCAAGAUUUCAGUGGUAUUGUAUAUAUGCCCAUAUAAUUUUUUGGAUUACUAUUCCCACAAGUGUAAGAUGAAAGAGGACCUGCCCUCCAUUCUAUCUACUCCCUCUCUGCAAAGGCCAUUUUGAAGAUCUCAGUUUUACUGAAAGGGGUCUGCCACACAUAACUUCCCUGGUGUACCAGCAACAAGUGUUCAGUGGACCAUGGCAACACAAAGAAUGACGGAGGAGAGAAAAUGCCAUGCAGAAGUGAUAGUCAAGAUGAAGAUGUGGGAGAGGAGCAGCCCCCAGUAUAUAUUCAGUGUGUCCUCUGAAGUAACAACCAUCCCAUCUGGCUGAGAAGUGAUGGACACGGCUCCUUAACCACACUGUACCCUCUGUUCUUGGCACCUCUCUACCAGAAAGAUAUCAACAAAUUGGAUGGAAUUCAGAGAACAGUAAGAAAAAUGAUUAAAGAGAUGGAGGCAGUGACUUAUGAGGAAAGAUGAAAAGGACUAAAUCUAUGUAGCUUGGCAAAGCAACAACUGAGGUGGCGUAUGAAAACUGUCUACAAGCAUUUGAAGAAUAUAAACACCAAGGGAAGAGAGGGAACUUUUUAGAAUGGUCUGGGGAAUAAGCAGAGUAAGAGGACAGAAUUGAAGAAAGGAGAGAGAUAUGCUAAGUUGGGGGUGGGGGCGUUUUCUCAUCAAUUGUAAAUUUUGAUAAAUAACAAAAUUAAGUCUGGAGAGAAAGAGUUGCAUCUCAUGCUUUUAGGUUACAAUCAGUGUUGACCUGCACUGAGAAAAUGUGACUUCCUAUUAUCCUUCUCAAAGUUAUUGCUGCAGAGGAAAGAAGCAUACAUCUUUUACCCACCAGGAAACCCCCAAAGCAUCUAUUACCAUAAUAGCCAUGGGAAACAGAAGGCACCUCAAAUAAAGGUGGGGAAAAGAAUGAAAGAAAUGGCUUUGGCCUGUGCCUGUUUGACCUCUGAGAGAUACUUUUUGCAAGAAAUUGUUAAGUUUUGGCCCAAAAAGUGGUCGGUCUUUUAUCCUUCCUUGUGGAGGCCAAACUGCAAACCAGGAUGAAGAAACCAUCAGUGGCAGUUUGGGGAGGUGGAGGAGGGACUAUCUAGACUCAGUGAAUCACCAAGGAAACAUGAGGCCU
rnacentral:lncRNA from 1 species